UUAAAAUAAGUCGAUACAAACAGACACCGGAAAAAAUAAAGGGCCGGUCACAGGAACAUAUGAACGCAUGGGGGAAUUGAGUCAAUAAAGAUCCAUGUCGAUGAAAAUGGAAUCUCAGCCAGCAUCUCCGGGAUUUGGAGCGUCACUGCAACUGAAGGACUGCAUAGAAGAGCUGCUGAGAUUCACACUUGUUUCCUCCAUUGACGGCACUUUUGAAAUUGACUUAGAUCUCUCUAAAGACUACUGCUCCACCCUCUUACAAGAAGAUCCCUCCGACUUUUUUCCCAAUUGUACUGGUCCUUCUGAAGGAGUUCCGUUAUAUCCUUUAUACAAGCGCCUUGCAGCAUCCUUAUUUGAAGCUUUUUCUUCUGAAGCCUUGCCAAGGACAGAAAACAAACUUGCUGUAAUGCAAGAAACUAGUUCUUUGAAACAAAAGGAAGAAGAGUGGGCUAGUUUGAUUAGGGAAAAAGGUUCUCAUUUGCUCGAUGUGCUAAAAUCUGUGGACUUUGAACUCCAUGUUCAGGAGCCUUACUUCUCCCUGCUUAGAAAUGGACAGAAAACAGUUGAAGGAAGGUGUGCUGUUGGACACUACAAUAAAAUUGAAUCUGGUGCUUUGAUCCUCAUCAACAAAUGUUUAGUUCUUCAAGUUCAGGAUGUCCGUCAUUAUCAUUCAUUUCGUGAGAUGUUAGAAGCAGAGAGUCUUAAAGAAGUUCUUCCUGGAGUGGAUACCACUGAAGAAGGUGUCCAAGUUUACCGGAAAUUUUACUCAGAAGAGAAAGAAAGGUCAAAUGGUGUUCUUGCUAUCAGUGUUAAGAAGCUGGUUUCUCAGCCUUCCAUCGAUCUGAGUUCCAUGCUAUCCGUGCAUAUAGAGAUAGAAAGAUGUUUGUCAAGUCCUAAUUCAGAGUCUAAUUUCGUUCAGGAACUGAGCUAUGCUGGUGUUCAGAGGCUUUUAGGAUUCAUAUAUACAGCUGGAACAGUUUCUGAGGCACUUCCACCGCCAACAUCUUCUCUAAUCUCAUCAUUUCUGUUGCCACAUAAUCCAAAUGCUAAAGGUUGUACAUUGACUGAUGGAGCGAGGGCAUUGUCAAAGCACGUCAACAGGAGCAGUGACAAAUACUGGGGUAGUUUUUCUGGAAGUGGUUAGUUCCUCACUUCAGAGCUCUUCAACAUGAACAUCCUUGAUUUGCAUAUUCUGAUAAAAAUAGGAAUGCCCUGGAUGUCAUCAGGAACUUAAUAACGUGUUCCUGCUGGAUGAAUAUUCAUAUUGUUCCACCACAUGGUGUUGUUUUUGAGAUUAGAGUUGCUAAUGGUUACGGUGCACGGUGGUCUAAAGAUGGAAGUAAGUUUAUUGGUUUCCUUGAGCCCUAUAUGGAGGAUGGCCAUUCAAAGGGAUGGAGGCACUGAAUAGUAGAAGAUACAAUACGCGUUUGAUCAUAAAAAAAAAAUUUAAAAAAAUAAUCAGUUUAUUUGAACCUUUGGAUUAUGCUGUAAUUAUAUGUAUCAUUCCCUUCUGUUCUCAUUUCUUAUAACAUUAGACAUUUCACUUAUGCUUAGUUACCAAUAGAUUACCACCUAAAUAAAGAAACAUUUAACA